GAGUCCCAGCUUACAUGUUUAUUUCAUAUUUUCAGUUGUUUCCCUCCACGGCUAAAUAAAUCAGUAAUGCACUGAUACACAAGAAUGGACAUGAGGAGCUUCUUUCAAAGAAACAACUCAGUUUCCUGAUGUCAACCCCAGUCAUGCUGCAGUCUGGAAGAGCAUCUCUGCAAUCAACAAGGUCGCUGUCAGGCGUCAGAAGAGCAAGAUUGACACCUUGUACAUCAACAUGGUUAAGCAUCUCAUUCCAUGCCAGGCGAGCCACUCACUUGGGGCAUUUGAUGAACUUUUCAGAGCACAUUUUGUGUUUAAUUUGUCCCAAGAUAAUAUAAAUCUGGACUUGUUAUUUGCAGUGCAGUGGAAGAAGACAUGUCUGUCUUUUACCAAGUUAUUUACUUUUGGUUAAAGAUAAGAAAAUGUUAUGGGAAACAAGUUGUUUACAGAGUGUUUUGAUAACCAUCUGUAUGCAUUCAGAGUUGUACAUACCAAGGAGAGAUGCAUAGUGAAAAUGUCAGAUCUAACGUUUUAUAUAGCUUUUGAUAAGCAAAGGUCAGACAAUGUUUCAGAUUAGACAGAGUACAUUGUACCUUCAUUCACAUUUUUUGAAGACAAAAUAAAUGUCCUUUUUGGUCAAA